UACACAUGUUGCCUCUAGUGAGCCUUCACA
rnacentral:piRNA from 1 species